CCUACGGGAGGCAGCAGUGAGGAAUAUUGGUCAAUGGGCGCGAGCCUGAACCAGCCAAGUAGCGUGAAGGAUGACUGCCCUACGGGUUGUAAACUUCUUUUAUAAAGGAAUAAAGUGAGGCACGUGUGCCUUUUUGUAUGUACUUUAUGAAUAAGGAUCGGCUAACUCCGUGCCAGCAGCCGCGGUAAUACGGAGGAUCCGAGCGUUAUCCGGAUUUAUUGGGUUUAAAGGGAGCGUAGACGGUUAAGUAAGUCAGGAGUGAAAGUCUGGGGCCCAACCCCGGGACUGCUCUUGAAACUAUUGGACUUGAGUGCAGGAGAGGUAAGCGGAAUUCGUGGUGUAGCGGUGAAAUGCGUAGAUAUUAGGAGGAACACCAGUGGCGAAGGCAGCUUACUGGACUGUAACUGACGUUGAGGCUCGAAAGCGUGGGGAGCAAACAGGAUUAGAUACCCUGGUAGUC
rnacentral:rRNA from 1 species